UUAUCUUCUACACGUUCAGCUUACCACUCUUUGCUAAAUCCUAAAAUUUCUCACACUUACCAUCAGUUUAUGAGGAUUAGGUGCAAACGGUAGGAUGGUUAAGGAAUUGAAGAAGUUACUUCCCUAUCUCAGGUCCCGCCUCGGUACACACUACAAUUAGGUAGACAUGGCAAGGGCUUAUAAAAAAAAAAGGCAGACAUGGCAAGGGAAGGUAAAAGUAAAGACAGAAGCAUC